rnacentral:rRNA from 1 species
UACAGAGAGUGCAAGCGUUAAUCGGAAUUACUGGGCGUAAAGGGCAUGUAGGUGGAUACUUAAGUCGGAUGUGAAAUCCCUGGGCUUAACCUAGGAAUUGCAUCCGAUACUGGGUGUCUAGAGUAUGAUAGAGGGUAGUGGAAUUUCCGGUGUAGCGGUGAAAUGCGUAGAUAUCGUGAGGAACACCAGAGGCGAAGGCGGUUACCUGGACAAUUACUGACGCUCAGGCACGAAAGCAUGGGUAGCAAAAGGG